CCUACGGGUGGCUGCAGUGGGGAAUAUUGGACAAUGGGGGGAACCCUGAUCCAGCGACGCCGCGUGAGUGAAGAAGUAUUUCGGUAUGUAAAGCUCUAUCAGCAGGGAAGAAAAUGACGGUACCUGACUAAGAAGCCCCGGCUAACUACGUGCCAGCAGCCGCGGUAAUACGUAGGGGGCAAGCGUUAUCCGGAUUUACUGGGUGUAAAGGGGGCGCAGACGGCAAUGCAAGCCAGGAGUGAAAGCCCGGGGCCCAACCCCGGGACUGCUCUUGGAACUGCAUGGCUGGAGUACAGGAGGGGUAGGCGGAAUUCGUAGUGUAGCGGUGAAAUGCGUAGAUAUUAGGAGGAACACCGGUGGCGAAGGCAGCUUACUAAACUGCCACUGACAUUGAUGCUCGAAAGUGUGGGUAUCAAACAGGAUUAGAUACCCCUGUAGUC
rnacentral:rRNA from 1 species